ACGGGAGGCAGCAGUGGGGGAUAUUGCACAAUGGGGGAAACCCUGAUGCAGCAACGCCGCGUGAGGGAGACGGUUUUCGGAUUGUAAACCUCUGUCUUCGGUGACGAUAAAAGACGGUAGCCGAGGAGGAAGCCACGGCUAACUACGUGCCAGCAGCCGCGGUAAUACGUAGGGGGCAAGCGUUGUCCGGAAUUACUGGGUGUAAAGGGUGCGCAGUCGGGGAUGCAAGUCAGCUGUGAAAACUAUCGGCUUAACUGAUAGACUGCAGUUUAAACUGUAUUUCUUGAGUGAAGUAGAGGUAGGCGGAAUUCCUAGUGUAGCGGUGAAAUGCGUAGAUAUUAGGAGGAACACCAGUGGCGAAGGCGGCCUACUGGGCGUUAACUGACGCUGAGGCACGAAAGUGUGGGGAGCAAACAGGAUUAGAUCCCCUGGUA
rnacentral:rRNA from 1 species